GGUUUAUUAGGAUCACACUGGUGACUGAGUUAAGACCAGGCUGUAUGGGGCAAAUACAAAGGAAGAGCCUCCAAGAAGUAAUCUGGGUGAGAGAAGACUGAGAGUUGCAGCAGGCUGGUCACAGGGCAGAUGAUGAGAAAUUGCUGGAUCCAGGAUGUAUUUGGGAGGUGGGAUAUGAAGCAUGAGACGGAAUGAGGUCACCAAGAGAGUGAAUGUAUAUAAAGCAAAGAGGGUGUCCAAGGGCUGAGUUCUGAGAUACUUCAAUAGCAGAAGAUGAUGCUGAGAAGCAGAAGCCAGCUAAAGAGACUGAGAAAGUGCUGGUGGUGAAGCACCAGGAAAAUCAACAGAUCAGGCUCUGUGUUAGUGGAUUCACAAGCAACCUGUACUCCUCAAAGAAAGAUGAUAAGAUGAAGGAGAUCUCUAGAACCAGCAACUGGGGCUCUUCCUUCAGUGAAAAAAGUGGGUGUAUGCAGACUCAUCCAUCCAUGAAUCUAGAUUGCAGGGAUGUGACCUAUGUAAUGAACUUGCUACUUAUUGCUCAUCAUCAUCUUCUUCAAUGACAAAAAAGAAAAUAGUAACAAUGAAUACGUCUCUUGGGCAAAAUAAAUAAUGAGAUUGUUACAGCAACCUGAUUUUUGAAAAGAAAAAAGGAACUUCCUCGAACUAAAGCAGUUAAGACCUCGACAUUUGCUCAUAGAAAAAGUCGCUGAGUCGUUUCUAGUUGUGAAGGUGCAAAAGAUGCAGUUAUCCCUUAUGGAAAAUUCCAAGAACUUGUGCCUAAUUUGAGUCAUGCAAACCUGAGUUCUGCAUGACUGAGCUCUGUCACUCAAUGGUUGGGAAAUUUGUGAUCAUCUCUACGCCUUGCUUUCUGCAUCUGUAAAGUGGAAAUGAUAAUAUCUACCUUGUGUGAUUCCUGGAAGAAUUAAAUACAUUAU
rnacentral:lncRNA from 10 species